rnacentral:rRNA from 1 species
GACGGAGGUCCCUAGCGUUGUUCGGAAUUAUUGGGCUUAAAGCGCGUGUAGGCGGAGCGGUAAGUACCUUGUGAAAUCCCCGGACUCAAUCCGGGAACUGCUUGGUAUACUGCCGUUCUCGAGGCAGGUAGGGGUCACUGGAACCUUAGGUGGAGCGGUGAAAUGCGUAGAUAUCUAAGGGAACGCCUGUGGCGAAAGCGGGUGACUGGGCCUGUCCUGACGCUGAGACGCGAAAGCGUAGGGAGCAAACGGG